rnacentral:rRNA from 1 species
UUAGAUACCCUGGUAGUCCACGCCCUAAACGAUGUCAACUAGCUGUUGGGGCCGUUAGGCCUUAGUAGCGCAGCUAACGCGUGAAGUUGACCGCCUGGGGAGUACGGUCGCAAGAUUAAAACUCAAAGGAAUUGACGGGGACCCGCACAAGCGGUGGAUGAUGUGGAUUAAUUCGAUGCAACGCGAAAAACCUUACCUACCCUUGACAUGUCUGGAAUGCCGAAGAGAUUUGGCAGUGCUCGCAAGAGAACCGGAACACAGGUGCUGCAUGGCUGUCGUCAGCUCGUGUCGUGAGAUGUUGGGUUAAGUCCCGCAACGAGCGCAACCCUUGUCAUUAGUUGCUACGCAAGAGCACUCUAAUGAGACUGCCGGUGACAAACCGGAGGAAGGUGGGGAUGACGUCAAGUCCUCAUGGCCCUUAUGGGUAGGGCUUCACACGUCAUACAAUGGUCGGGACAGAGGGUCGCCAACCCGCGAGGGGGAGCCAAUCUCAGAAACCCGAUCGUAGUCCGGAUCGCAGUCUGCAACUCGACUGCGUGAAGUCGGAAUCGCUAGUAAUCGCGGAUCAGAAUGUCGCGGUGAAUACGUUCCCGGGUCUUGUACACACCGCCCGUCA